rnacentral:rRNA from 1 species
AUUGAACGCUGGCGGCCGGCCUAACACAUGCAAGUCGAACGAGUGGCGGACGGGUGAGUAAUGUCUGGGAAACUGCCUGAAGGUGGGGGAUAACUACUGGAAACGGUAGCUAAUACCGCAUAACAUCAGAUGUGCCCAGAUUGGAUUAGCUAGUUGGUGGGGUAACGGCUCACUAAGGCGACGAUCCCUAGCUGGUCUGAGAGGGUGACCAGCCACACUGGGACUGAGACACGGUCCAGACUCCUACGGGAGGCAGCAGUGGGGAAUAUUGGACAAUGGGCGCAAGCCUGAUGCAGCCAUGCCGCGUGUAUGAAGAAGGCCUUCGGGUUGUAAAGUACUUUCAGCGGGGAGGCGUUACCCACAGAGGAAGCACCGGCUAACUCCGUGCCAGCAGCCGCGGUAAUUC